AUUGGACGCUGGCGGCAGGCCUAACACAUGCAAGUCGAGCGGAUGCAGGGAGCUUGCUCCUGGAUUCAGCGGUGGCCGGGUGAGUAAUGCCUAGGAAUCUGCCUGGACGUGGGGGAUCACGUCCGAAAACGGGCGCUAAUCCCGCAUACGUACAGUGGGCGACCGUGGGGGAUCUUCGGACCUCACGCUAUCAGAUGAGCAUAGGUCGGAUUAGCAAGUUUGUGGGGUAAAGGCCUACCAAGGCGACGCUGCGUAACUGGUCUGAGAGGAUGAUCAGUCACACUGGAUCUGAGACACGGUCCAGACUCCGACGGGAGGCAGCGGUGGGGAAUAUUGGACAAGGGGCGAAAACCGGAUCCAGCCAUGCCGGGUGUAUGAUGAAGGUCUUCGGAUGGGAAAGCACUGUAAGUUGGGAGGAAGGGCAGUAAGUUUAUACCGGGCUGUUUUGACGGUACCAACAGAAUAAGCACCGGCUAACUUCGUG
rnacentral:rRNA from 1 species